CAGAGGGUAACCAGUGUUUGGUUGUUUUUUUUUUUAAUUUCUACUGUCUCUUCUAGUUCUCAGAUAUCUGUCUAGUUUUCCUUUAUAAUUUAUUAAUGUUGCCUAGGCUCUUUUACUCAUCAUAGUUUUCAGCAUUCCUGGGUACUUGAAUGUUCUCCACUGUUAAUGUUGCCACUACGUCCACUGCUUUCACUGAACUGAAGUCAGGUCAGCAGAUUCAGGAGAGUGUCUUGAAAGGUAACUUUUUUGGAGCAUCUUCAGCAUAAAAAUGUUCCUUCUAAAAUGCAAUGGCAAGAACUUAAAACAGUGUAACCAAUGUGGUCUGACCAGGAAGAAGUACAAAAGAAUUACCAUCUCCCUUUUUCUUUCCAAAUGUUCUAAUAAUCCAAAGUAAAAUCCCAUUAGCUUUUUUUGACUUUCAUGACAUAGUAUUUGGAAUUAGCUGGCUAGGAAGAGCCAAGAUGAAAGAGCAACAGGAAGAAAUAUAGUUGAAAUGUCACCUACAACUCCACAAAGAUAGUACCAAACCUAGAUGUGAUUGGAAAAUUGAAGAAAAGAAGUCACAGUAAUCAGUUUUCCAUAUAAGUUCACCAUAAGGAACUAGUCAUAAUAGUCUUUAGACACUGAGGACUUCACCCAUCCAAAAAUGACCACACAAAACAUUAUAUCAUACAGACCAAGACUAUGCACCAGAGCAAGAAAAGAGUCUAUACCUACACAGAGAGAGACCUCAACCAUUCCGAAGCAGUUACCAACUGGCAACUGUAUUGACCAUUACUUAGUUCGAGGUAACCGAUUCAGAGUGGACCAAGGAGGAGAUCCUUUCUCGAGAGAUGGAGAUUCAGGAGGAGAAGCAAUAUCAAACUCAGGCUGUCAAGUUCAAAAUGAUACAGUAGACAUGUGGCUCUUAGCCCAGGAGCAGUGAGGGAUCUCAGUUCGAACAUUUAGAGCAGUCUAAAGCUUGAGUAGAACAACAGGAACCCCAAACCAAAAAGGAACUUGAAGUUCUGUCACUCUGAACCAGUAGAAGUUUCCACUAGCAAUAUGAAUUGAGUCUAAGAAUAGUCUACUGGAACUUUAAACAGGGGUAAGACCACAGGUGUAGUGCUCAGAUCCAAACUAGGAAGGCAGUGAUUAGGCUUUGGGAAUACUCAAAACAUUAGUUCCAGUCCUAGCUGUCCAUGAGAUCUUGGAAUAACAAUCCUCAAAACCUAAGAAAGCAACUGGCUCUAAGAGGAGACAAGCUGUGCUUAUGCAUUUCCUUCAGAAGUAUAGAGUUUAGCCUUAACAAAGUCUAAAGCCAGGAUAUAAGGUUUUCUUUAUAUAGCUGAGCCUGUAAUUUUCAAAUUGGAAAAUGUAAGAAAUAGAAAUUCCGAAAAGAUGAAGACACAGAACAGCCAUCUCUUUAAGGAAGAUCAGCCCCUCACAAAUAAACAUUUGACCUAAA